rnacentral:tRNA from 1 species
GGGGGUAUAGCUCAAUGGUAAACUGUGUGCUUAGCAUGUUCGAGGUCCUGGGUUCAAUUCCCAGUACCUCCA